AGCAAAAUGGAAAAUCCGAACGGAAAUCCAAAUGCCGAGCAUCCCAAUCGUCGACCAUCAGACCGUCUCCCAAAUCGUCAAGAUUGCCUUUAAUACGCUCUCAGUAUUACCCACAUUCGAAACGAGAGAUACCAAUCGGUGAAGAACCAAGAAGCUACUCGAGAGAUACCAGGCCAUCAACUGCACAAACACGAUGCAAUUCAACAUAAUGCACUGAUGGAGAUGGUAGACUUCAUGAGAUUUCGAAAUACCCACGAGAAGAGAAUAUCCGAAAAUGAUGGUUGCAAUACCAACAUUAAUUGUCGGAAAAUCGGAAUACGAUUCGAGAAAUUUAACAAUAGUUCAAAGAGUUCAAAAGAUGGAGAGGACUCCACGUCGUUGGCCCGCAAACAGGCAAAAAUAUGCCCAUUGUGCUCCGGAAAAUUUUUUUGGAAUACACGUCUCAAGCUAUACCCUCGAAGAGUGCAUUAUAUACCAACUUCUGAACAAGAACAAAAUUGUCACCUACUUAGCCGUCAAUACCACUGGUUUUUCGCAAUCAUAUAAUUCGAAAUCAGAAUUACACCUCCAAAUCGCCAAAAUACCACCGAUUGUGGUCAUCGAACAAGAAGUUUCAGCGAAACCAGCUCAAAUUCAAGCUUCAUCAACCAUCUGAGUGAUACUACCGAUGAUGAGUCAGAAAUGUCGUUAAUUGAUGAAUAACCAACGAAGAUAAAUAUAAUACCUUCGUUUUAAAAUUUAUUAAUUAUUCCCCGCCAUACCCUCUAUACACAUUUCAGUCCUUCAAAGACAACCAUUGAGCUAAAAGCUCCCGAAUAAAUUCGAAUUCGUUGA
ensembl:ncRNA C38D9.13 ncRNA